rnacentral:lncRNA from 1 species
UUCUCUUUUAGCGCCCCAUUUAUUACACGAGAAAAUAUUUCUCAUGAAAUCACUCACACACAAAUUAAGCCACGCUCUCCUCUUCUCACGCCCUUAGUGGAUAGGGAUAAAUUGAUUUCUAUUUGAAUUCAAAAUUUGAUUUGAAUUCAAAUAUGCAAUUACUCAUCUUUAACCUCUCACGUGGAUAAGAUGUUUGAUGUUGUUUUAAAAGGAGGAGAAGAGUGGGGAGUGUGCAAGAAAAUUUUUGGAGAGAAAAUCUGGGC